rnacentral:rRNA from 1 species
UACGUAGGGGGCAAGCGUUGUCCGGAAUUAUUGGGCGUAAAGAGCUCGUAGGCGGUUCAGUAAGUCGAGUGUGAAAGCCCCCGGCUCAACUGGGGAGGGUCACUCGAUACUGAUCGACUUGAAGGCAGGAGAGGGAAGCGGAAUUCCCGGUGUAGUGGUGAAAUGCGUAGAUAUCGGGAGGAACACCAGUGGCGAAGGCGGCUUCCUGGCCUGUUCUUGACGCUGAGGCGCGAAAGCUAGGGGAGCAAACGGG